AUUAAAGCAGGGAGUAUGAAGGUAAUAAAUUAUAGCCUGCUCCAUCCUGCAGUGCUUGCCAGUGAUACCAUGUCCAUAAGGAAAGCUUUGUGAUAAGAAAUUAAAACGGCAAGAUUCAAAGAAAACCAGGUACCUUUGCAAAGACAAAGAAAAUUGGGUCAUUAAAACACUCUUCAGGUUUUCAAGAGGCACAGGGAAGACCAGAAUAGUGUAAAUGUGUUGUUUGUAUUAAGUCUUAAGAAGGCCAGUAAUCCUUUUGGUGCACAGAAUUGAAUGUCACCCACCUGGAGAAAAGUCUGCAAUACAGUAAGCACACAGAGAUAAAAGUUUGCCCAGCAGGAUAAAACUAGAAUCUUGGAAUGGCCAUGGUUGGAAGGGACCUCCGAGGAUCAUCUAGUCAAGAUCAUCUGCCGAGCAGGAUCACCGAGAACGCAUUGCACAGAAUGGCAUCCAGGUAAUGUUCCUGGUGCAUGCCUGCAGCAGAAGUACCAUGAGUAAGAAAGACCACCAACUGUAUAUCAACCCUGUUUCUCAACCAAUUCAGUGCCGAGAGCCCUGGAGGAUCCGGGAUGUCUAAGAGCAGUGUUACGAAGUUCUGCCAGCAGAUGGUGAUAAAACAUGAGGUAGAAGAAGAAAACAAGCCGACAUAUUGGAUCUGAUGAGAAGACAUCAGCUAUUCUUUUAUCCUCUGAAAGCAUUCUUUCAUUCUUUGGGACAUGUAGUGCAUUUUGAGGAUGGCAGUCUGAGAACCCCAUUGGUAUAACUUUGCAACAGCUGCCACUAUAAGUCUAUGAAAAGACAUUGCAGACUCUGCUAAAGACCUAUAGUAGGAAUAUUGAAAAGAUGAAAGGAGUGCUGGAGUUAAAAGGGGAACAGUGCAAUAAAGAGAAUUUGAGAUUGAAAAAAAACAAAAAACAAACAAACAAAAAACAACACAUUGAAUUCAAGAUGUAGGGAUUACCAAAACCUUAAACAGUUUAGGAUAAGGGAAUUAGGAAAAAUGGAGAGAAGGGAGUUGAUUAAGGACUUGGCUGGUUUGCAUGUGGAAGGCUGGAAAAGAUUUUGAAAUUUGUCUCUUGUUAUUUGCAAAAUGCGUCACAUCCCUACCAAAUUAUUUAGAACACUAUAAAGUGUUUGCAGUGUACUCAUAUUACAGUCACAUACUAUUUUCUUUUCUUACCUUUUUGCAGUCAUGUGCAUUUCUCAUAAAAGUUUGUUAGAGCAAAAAUAACUUUGUACCUUUCAGUAAGUGCUGUUCAGUAGAUGCCUGACAAACAUUUACUACUACUUACUACUACUAUUUUGUAAAUGUCCUCAGAUUUGCUAACCUGCCAUUUUUAUGCACUUAUAAAUUGCUUUGGAAUGUA